rnacentral:rRNA from 1 species
GGCCCCGCACAAGCGGUGGAGCAUGUGGUUUAAUUCGAUGAUACGCGAGGAACCUUACCAGGGCUUAAAUGUAAGUUGCAUAAGCUAGAGAUAGCUUUUUCUUCGGACUACUUACAAGGUGCUGCAUGGUUGUCGUCAGCUCGUGCCGUGAGGUGUCAGGUUAAGUCCUAUAACGAGCGCAACCCCUGUUGUUAGUUGCCAUCGAGUUAAUGUCGGGAACUCUAACAAGACUGCCGGUGCAAACCGAGAGGAAGGUGGGGAUGACGUCAAAUCAUCACGGCCCUUACGUCCUGGGCUACACACGUGCUACAAUGGCCGGUACAGAGAGCAGCCACUACGCGAGUAGGAGCGAAUCUAUAAAACCGGGUCUCAGUUCGGAUCGGAGUCUGCAACUCGACUCCGUGAAGCUGGAAUC